rnacentral:rRNA from 1 species
UGCAGCCUACGGGACGCAGCAGUGGGGAAUAUUGCACAAUGGGGGAAACCCUGAUGCAGCGACGCCGCGUGAGUGAAGAAGUAUUUCGGUAUGUAAAGCUCUAUCAGCAGGGAAGAAAAUGACGGUACCUGACUAAGAAGCCCCGGCUAACUACGUGCCAGCAGCCGCGGUAAUACGUAGGGGGCAAGCGUUAUCCGGAAUUACUGGGUGUAAAGGGAGCGUAGACGGUGAUGCAAGUCUGGAGUGAAAGGCGGGGGCCCAACCCCCGGACUGCUCUGGAAACUGGAUGACUUGAGUGCAGGAGG